AUUGAACGCUGGCGGCAGGCCUAACCCCUGCAAGUCGAACGAGUGGCGGACGGGUGAGUAAUGUCUGGGAAACUGCCUGAUGGAGGGGGAUAACGACUGGAAACGGUAGCUAAUACCGCAUACCAUCAGAUGUGCCCAGAUGGGAUUAGCUUGUUGGUGGGGUAACGGCUCACCAAGGCGACGAUCCCUAGCUGGUCUGAGAGGAUGACCAGCCACACUGUAACUGCGACACGGUCCGGACUCCUACGGGAGGCAGCAGUGGGGAAUAUUGCACAAUGGGCGAAAGCCUGAUGCAGCCAGGCCGCGUGUAGGAAGAAGGCCUUCGGUUUGUAAAGUACUUUCAGCGGGGAGGCGUUACCCGCAGAAGAAGCACCGGCUAACUCCGUGAAAGCAGCCGCGGUAAUUC
rnacentral:rRNA from 1 species